AUUGAACGCUGGCGGCAGGCCUAACACAGGAAAGUCGAGCGGAUGAAGGGAGCUUGCUCCUGGAUUCAGCGGCGGACGGGUGAGUAAUGCCUAGGAAUCUGCGUGGUAGUGGGGGAUAACGUCCGGAAACGGGCGCUAAUACCGCAUACGUCCUGAGGGAGAAAGUGGGGGAUCUUCGGACCUCACGCUAUCAGAUGAGCCUAGGUCGGAUUAGCUAGUUGGUGGGGUAAAGGCCUACCAAGGCGACGAUCCGUAACUGGUCUGAGAGGAUGAUCAGUCACACUGGAACUGAGACACGGUCCAGACUCCUACGGGAGGCAGCAGUGGGGAAUAUUGGACAAUGGGCGAAAGCCUGAUCCAGCCAUGCCGCGUGUGUGAAGAAGGUCUUCGGAUUGUAAAUCACUUUAAGUUGGGAGGAAGGGCAGUAAGUUAAUACCUUGCUGUUUUGACGUUACCAACAGAAUAAGCACCGGCUAACUUCGUC
rnacentral:rRNA from 1 species